rnacentral:tRNA from 1 species
GGGGAUGUAGCUCAGUGGUAGAGCGCAUGCUUUGCAUGUAUGAGGCCCCGGGUUCAAAACCCGGCAUCUCCA